UUGUUAUCCAAAUCCUGGUUUUAUCUUAUAACUGGUUUUAGGGGCAAUUGUAGUGAAUUGCCCCUAAAAGAUGUUUGAAAUUCGUUUCAUACACUUUUCCUGAAUCAACUUAAGUAUUGAUUUCACAAACAAUAAGAUGGUGUGCCGUAGCAUGUCAUCGCACUAGAAAGAAAAAAAGUACUCCACCAGUGGGAAAUAAUUUCAGCAGAGGAAAGUGAUGAAUAUUGGAUGUGUGUUUAGAAAUCAGAGGUUGAUAAAGUCUUAAGAUUGCUAUAUGCACUAUGAGGCUAAUGUAUUUUGAAAAUUGCAAAACAAUAUUUUUUAAACAACAAAAAUUUGGUGAGUAGCAUACGCAGACUUCAAAAAUAAAUUGCGUAACUUCAUAUUUCAGUAAUUAAAGAUUUAACAAUAGUGAUUUUGUGGCUAAACAAAAUAUACUGAACCCAUUAUGUAUAAACCAUGGAUUCAGAGCUCCAGAAAAUUAUCUUAAUGAGGCAUAUAAACUCUUUUUGUUUAAUGUCCACACCAAAUCAUUAUGGUCUGCCAUUUCAUGAAAUAACAAGUUUUAAAAUAAGUGAUGUUUUUUAGUUUGUAUAUCUAUAUUCUUUUCUACCAGGUAUAGCACAGUGUAGUACAAGGGCCUACAGUUACAAGCCUUGGGAAAGAUACUGUUUUGGCCACAUAUUUCAGCUAUGUGACCCUGGAAAGAGGGUCUCAGAGGGCCACUGUGGCCCUCAGUGUCUUUUCAUUGGUAAAUUGGGGCAACAUCUUUUGUAUAAUGAAAGCUGAAAAAAAUAACGAUUUUCCUUUUAUUCUCCCUUCCUUUCAUUUAGGCUGUAGUUUUCACUUUUUAACUACAAAGCAAUUUAUCUCUUGAUAACACUUCUAGUGUAUUGUCCCUAAAGUACUUUUGAAAGUAGUUCUGUACACUUUUCCUGAGUAAUAAAAACAUCACAUAUUUGCUAACUUGAAAGAAUCCCGAGUCAGGAGAUGGCCUGGAUUCUCUCUGACCCUUCAACUAAAGUCUUUGACCAAAGGAGCACAGGUGACCCCUUUCUGCUUCAUUUUCUGACCUGUAGAGUAUUGGACUCAAUGACCGAUCCUCCCUUGUAGCUCCAAAAUUCUGGGCUAAACUCCAUGCACCUCCCUUCUGAGUUAAAAAUAGUAGACAGGCCUGCAUUAUCAACAUUUGUAGAAAAAUAUGAAAUGCUUAGAGUCACUUUGUAAUUGAGUCUAAGAUUUGAAUGCAUAGAGUUCAAAUGCAAUACUUGUGUUGAUAACACAACAAAGACAUGUAAGUUUUUAUGUACCUUUAUGUUCUAUGCAUUAGUCCUUCAUUCCUUGGCAUGAGGAGAAGUGAUGGUUUCUCAGUGACCUUCCAGAACUCUAAGGCUGUGUUUCUCACACCAGGCCUCAGGGUUUCUACAUUUUGAACAAAUUUCCAGUAUUGUACCCAUGCACACCUGAGUCUAAGAACUCUGCUGUAAGGUGACAUUAAACAGCACCUGAAGUUAUAUUUGAGAUGAUUACUCAGUAAUCAAUGUACAGUUGAUUUUCAUAGUGUGGAUUCAAGCACGGAAUAGAGCAC
rnacentral:lncRNA from 1 species